rnacentral:rRNA from 1 species
GGGCCCGCACAAGCGGAGGAACAUGUGGUUUAAUUCGAUGAUACGCGAGGAACCUUACCUGGGCUUAAAUGUAGAGUGCAUUGGUGGGAAACCAUCAUUUUCUUCGGAACUCUUUACAAGGUGCUGCAUGGUUGUCGUCAGCUCGUGCCGUGAGGUGUCGGGUUAAGUCCCAUAACGAGCGCAACCCUUAUCGUUAGUUGCCAGCGGGUCAAGCCGGGAACUCUAACGAAACUGCCGGUGUAAACCGAGAGGAAGGUGGGGAUGACGUCAAAUCAGCACGGCCCUUAUGUCCAGGGCUACACACGUGUUACAAUGGCCGGUACAGAGGGCAGCUACCUGUUGACAGGAUGCGAAUCUCGAAAGCCGGUCUCAGUUCGGAUCGGAGUCUGCAACCCGACUCCGUGAAGCUGGAUUCGCUAGUAAUCGCGCAUCAGCCAUGGCGCGGUGAAUACGUUCCCGGGCCUU